rnacentral:tRNA from 1 species
GCCUGGGUGGCUCAGUUGGUUAGGCGUCUGACUUCAGCUCAGGUCAUGAUCUCAUGGUUCAUGGAUUCGAGUCCCAUGUCAGGCU